rfam:Enterococcus aquimarinus strain DSM 17690 Scaffold3, whole genome shotgun sequence.
GGGGCGUUAGCUCAGUUGGUAGAGCAAUUGACUCUUAAUCAAUGGGUCGCGGGUUCGAAUCCCUCACGCCCCA